rnacentral:misc_RNA from 1 species
UCUCCGUAGGUGAACCUGCGGAGGGAUCAUUACAGAGUUCAUGCCCUCCGGGUAGAUCUCCCACCCAUUGCUAUAACUACUCUCGUUGCUUUGGCGGGCCGCUGGGCCCUGCCCGUCCGCCGGCCCCGGCUGGCGCGUGCCCGCCAGAGACCUCACAAACUCUGAAUGUUAGUGUCGUCCGAGUAACUAUACAAUCGUUAAAACUUUCAACAACGGAUCUCUUGGUUCUG